rnacentral:lncRNA from 1 species
UUAAAACUUUUUACAAAAUAUUUAUACUGAUUCAAAAUAUUAAAUCUGAAAACCGCGAACCGCAUAUAUUAUUAUUAUUAUUAUUAUUAUUUUGAGAGAUAGGUAGCACGCUACCCGUUUCGUUUAUUUCAUUUAGAAAUAAACUUAGCUGGAAAUGUGAAUCAACUAGGAUUCGAACUUAGAUCUCGGGUACCAACCAUCAAGCCCUUUGCCACUUGCUCUAGGGACGGUCGGUAACCGCAUAUAUUAUUAGAAGCAAGAAACAAAGAGAGAAAUUAUAAACGGACAAAAAGG